rnacentral:misc_RNA from 1 species
GCUGCUGUCGCGGCCCAGGCCGGCACAUUGAUGGGUAUCUUCUGAUUUCUUGGCAAAAUCCCCGGCCUAAUAAAAUGAACACCUGUUUGCAAGAAUUCAACCUCUUGAAAGAACCUGGCAACAUCAAAGCUCAAAACACGCACACCGCCAUCAUCGACAUAAAACACCGGGUUCCCGGCGGUGUUCGGCGUGGAAGGAAUGUAACAGUUGCCAUAUAUGGGUACAAGAACCGGAGCUUUUUUGAAGAACCUCUUCGCUAUAUCAAAUGCUCGGUUGCUAUCAACCGGUUUAUUACCCCAAGAAUGGACCCAGAAGUUGUUGUGGAAGAUGUUCUUGGAGAGGUUCAAGAAAGGCAGGUUUAAUAAAAUUUUGAGUUGCUGAAGAGAGGAUGAGCGCCAGUUAGGGAACUGAGGACCAACAGGAAGGCCUUCUUGGAGAAUGGAGCGAAGGUCAGGAGGAAAAGAGAAAUGGAAGGUGGAUUCAAUGGAGGUGAAUUCAUGAUCAGUGAGGCCAGGGAGGACAGGGAUGUUGAGAGACUUGAGGUGGUCUAUUAGGGUUUUGGCAUAGGCUGCAAAAGAGAAGCAUACAAGCUUAGCGGUGGGAUUUGGGUGCCUUCUUGAGGUUAGAGUCUCUGUUGUUGUUGUCGCCAUUGGUUUUCUUGAGAGCCUAAAGAAACGAAAAGAGAUGUAUAUCUCUCAAGAGUUUAAUUAAAGAAAAUGGAGAUGGAAAGAAAGAAAGAAGCAAAG